AUGCUUUUAAGUAGUCUUAGCUAUGGAGAUAAACAUGUAAUGGAAAAGUAAUGCCAAGAACCCUUUUUAACUAUUUUAUGAAAUCAGUAAAUAACAAAUCAGUUGUUUCUAAACCGAAUAGCUUAGAAUUAAGCCCUGCAGUUUUUUGUUUUCUUUCAGCCACACCUUUGAGAUACUUUGAAUUAUCCACUAUGUAAAGUGAUUGGGAAAAGAAAAACUCUCAAGAUGUGGAUACGAUGAGUUAUAUGUGAAGUGUAAGGCAAAUGUUUCAGGCAUUUUCAAGCCAUGGAGAAGACAGAAUAAACUUCACUCCAAUGUGAAACCAGUGAAGCCCAUAGCACGCCCCUAGACACAACAGCACGAGGUAGACACUGAGUCUUUCACUCAGUCAAAACUGUUUCAGGAAUUUUUCACUUAUAAAUUACUACACAUCUUUUAAAGGAAGAUUUUUAUUAACAUUUUUACAAUUAAUACAACCAAACUUUUGUAAACAGUGACAGCCUCUAGGUUCCUCCUUACACAGGAAACAUGCAUCGACAACGUCUAGCUAAAGAGGGGCACUUCAAGUAUCGUGAGACAUAAUUUACACAAGGAAGUUCCUGUGUUCAGAAACGUUCUCAAAACUAGUUAGAUGGUAAGAAAAUCCCUUUAACCGACAGAGUUGUUGCAAAACAGGCCCAUCAACUCUGACUCUGUGGCCGCCAUUUUAUAUUCAAGCCUCAAACAUGUUGACUAAAAUGUUGGUGCUAUCUACCCCCAUUGUGGACUAUCACCAGGAGAUCCAUUUACCAUGCAGAUUCAGAGAAACCUUUCCUGGUAGAGAAGCGAGGACCUGAGCUCACACACUUCCAAUUGGCAGGAAUGGAUACCAUCUGUGGUGGCAGAGAGCAAAUAUUGAACAUGCCACUUUAUAUGCCUGCUUUACCACCCCACCAAACCACCAACAGUACCACCUGUCUGAAGCCAGGAUUCAUUCCAACCUAGCAAUGUUUACACUUGACCUCUAUAUUAACAAUAUUCACCCCGUCCUUACACAUUUCUAACUCCGAAAAGUUUACCUUUGAGUGAGAGUCCUGCUAACAUUUGUAGGUUUUUAUACAGUACCCAAGACCAAUCUUACAGUAGGCUUUAACACAGUACCCAAGACCAGUUUAGUAGUAUUUGUAGGUUUUUAAUCAAUACCCAAGACCAGUCAGGUAGUUGUUGUAGGUUUUUAUACAGUACCUAAGACCAGUUUGGUAGUAUUUGUAGAUUUUUAUACAGUAACUAAGACCAGUUUGGUAGUAUUUGUAGGUUUUUAUUCAGCACCCAAGACCAGUAGUUGAAGGUUUUAUUCAGUACCCAAAUGCAGUCUGUGAGUUUAUUUGACCAUGGGGAAAUGUAAACACUGCAAUAUGGGUUUGAUGAAAUGAAUCCCCUGACCUCACACUGGGGUUGUAUCAAACCAGUGGCAAGGGGGUUUCAGAGCUGUAACAGACUCCAGCUUAAUAUCAGCAGUUUGGCACAGCUGACUCUUUAGACACAAAAUCAGUCUAAAGACUUUAACAGGACUGGCUAUGUUGACAGUGUUAUUAAACAAGGUCUUUAUAGGCUCUGCACAGACCCAAGCACCUUGGUAUCCUUCCUCUCGAUUCCCCAUGGAAACAAAAAAAACACAACGUGUCAGCCAUUUCUAUCACCACGACAACGUGGCAGCCAUUUUCUUUUUUUGCUGAAGCACCUGAUCAAACCAAACAUGCGAACGCUGACAAACAGGUCCAACAUCUACUAUACCGUCAAGACGUGUCCUUUAAAUGCUACCCUGGUCUGCAACAAUCUGCAUCCUCAUUGGUCACAACGAUAAGCCAGGAAACCAUUACUUCAUACGAGACAGAUUUGCGUCUUUUAACAAGGGCUUAGUAGAGCUGGAGCCAUAAUAAUUUGAAUGUUUUUUUUUUUAUUAUUAUUGACGAUACUUGUUACAUUCCUUUUGUAUCGCACUGUUCACGCCGAGCCAUGAUGAAGCCAUCUGUAAUUGUCCUUUCGUGUGAAUGGAAUGACAUUCAUACAGAAUCGACAGGCUUUGAUAGCCUACUGUACGCGCCAUUAAUGCACGGUGCUAACAUGUACUGGAGUUAUUUUUGGGUGGGUGGGGGGGGGGGCUGAUCUCCCACUUGUUAUUGAUAUUGUUAGCGAUUAGGGCAUCUAAUUAAACGGAGUGCCGGUAGUGUCGGAAAAAAUGCGGACCGCGAAGGCCCAUGCACCUGACACAGGUGCCCAGAAGUAGCCUGAGGGUAGCAUACAAGUCCUAAAGUAGCACACGAGUUACCAAACGAUUUACUACAAGUUUAUGAUUCUUGAGCAAAACCACCGCUGCACAGUAAAAUGAAAGUACUUACUGUAGGCUAAGGUACAGGAGUGGUAGCUAUGGUUACAGUCAUUAAAAAUAAUAUGAAGAACGUGUCAGGGUAUUUAGAGUAGGUUGGGGUUACGUCUAUAUUUGGCUCAGUCGCAACCACGGGUAAACAAUGACUGAAUGCCAUGUAUGUGUUCUUAAGGAGCAGGAAAGGAAAAACUGUACAUUAGCAAUAUACGAACAUGUCAUUAUUUCAGCAUAGCGCCACAUAUCUUGAAUAUCUGUGUGUACUUAAAAAUUGCAAAGAAAGAAAAAAAUUGUCAGUAAUUUUUAAUGGAGAAAUCUGUUGUUUGAACUGCAGAUUUGAUUUUAUAUCUGACUGACCUUAUUUGAAGGUUUCCUGAGCAUUAUUUCUGACUUGUGUACUGUAUGUAAAGAUUGAAUAAAACCUUGAAUGUCA
ensembl:lncRNA